AGGCAGAUGGGGCACAGAAGUUCCUCCUCGAAGCAGCUCUUCCAGUUUUCAGCCAUCUUGGAAAAAAGUCGUUAUUUUUUCAAAAAAUUCAAACCCAAAACCCCCCCAACGGCCAACUGUCCCACCUCAGCAGCAACGAUGCUGUUUGACCCGCUGAGUUCCUACAGCAGUUUGCUUUUUGCUUCAAAUUCAGUUUUGUUGAAAUGAAUGGAACAGAUUUUCAGAAGAGCACUACAGUGUGAAGCUACUGCCAAAUUACACGUUUAGCCCAAAUAGCCAAAGAUAAGUUUCCACCUGAUUACGAAUUUAUGUCACAGACACCAUUUAUCCCUUUAUGUCAAUGGCAGACAAGGAAGAGCUUCACCCUAACUCUACCGUCUAGUACUUGGUCCAUGGCUCUGGAGAUUUUGGCACUUCUAAGUAUUUUUGGCAUUCAUCAAAGUACUUUUUAAAAUAUGCUGAGGAUUCCUGCCUCUACUCUAUCCUUUCAUGCCGUGAUUCUGGACUUUGAGUGAAGAGCAGUUUCCUCAUUUCCCUUCUAGUACUUGUGCUGAUGACCUUCAAUCUAACCUCAAUGCCAAAGGAAUUAGGUCCUCCUCAUUCCACCUGUCCACCCUGCUCAUAAUUUUAUACCCCUCAUCUGAACUUCCUCUGUAUAUUGAGUUGUGCAGUUUGUCUGCGUCAGCUUGCUGUAAUGCAGGCUUACCACCAUGGAAGUCAGGAGGAGAUAAAUAACCCAGAUGCUUCUCGAACAAAUGAGUUCCUCCAGCAGAUGGUUAUUGCUCCAGAUUCCACCAUCUGCAGUCUCUUGUGUCUUCAUAGAGAAUCCACCAACUGGUCACAGUGCAGCCUCAGCACAUGUCAAACUUUUGCAGGUACCUCUGCCCUCCUGUUGUGUGCCUGACCUUCACUGAAUGCAGGGACAUUCACCUCUGGCCCCAUAGCUCUGUGCCAGCAAUAACUGAAUGAUGUCACCAACUUUAAUUAAAAAAUAACAGAGGUUAAGUGGUUUGUUUUUUACUAAUGUCAAUGUUUCUAAUUUCCUUCAUCUCAUUGUGUUUUUAUAAUUUUAUUAUUCAGAAGCCAUCAGAAGACCAUUGGGUGGUCUAUGGGUAUGGCCUUAGCUUGCACUGCCUGAGCUGUAGUCAUCACCCACAGCCCACUUCCCUAAUUCUCACUUCAGGGAAUGGCAGCGGCAGUGAGGCCUCCGUCGGUGGGAAGUACAUGGCAGCAAGAGAUUAGUGUGGCUGCAGAGCCAGCACCGAGGUUGACUGGGGGCAUGGGCUCCAUUCAGAGCAAACCAGCCCAAUUUGGUUAGAAGAGAUUUCUGUUCACCCAGUAUUGGAACAGAAGAAAAUAGAAGCAUGAGGAGGCCACUUGGCCCCUCAAGCCUGCCCUGCCAUGCAAUAUAAUCAUGGCUGAUCCCUAUUGUUCCAGUUCCCCAUAGCCCUCAAUUCCCUGAUAUGUAUCUGCCUCCUCUUUGUUAGUGGUACUCUGACCUCUGAGACAGAAGGUUGUGGAUUCAAAACCCACAAGUCCAGAGAUUUGCAUGUAAGAUCUGGAUCAGGACCCUGGUGGAGAACUGAGGGAGAUGCAGUCAUUUGGUUGAAAUGUUAGACUGAGGCCACAUCCGCUCUUUUAUGUGGAUGCAAAAUAUUCCACAUCUUUUGAAGGAAGGCAAUGAGUUCUCCCUGGUGCCUUGGCCAAUAUUUAUCCCUCAACCCAUAUAU